UACGUAGGGGGCUAGCGUUGUCCGGAUUUAUUGGGCGUACAGAGCGUGUAGGCGGCCAGGUAGGUCUGCUGUGAAAACUCGAGGCUCAACCUCGAGACGUCGGCGGAAACCAUCUGGCUAGAGUCCGGAAGAGGAGAGUGGAAUUCCUGGUGUAGCGGUGAAAUGCGCAGAUAUCAGGAAGAACACCCGUGGCGAAGGCGGCUCUCUGGGACGGUACUGACGCUGAGACGCGAAAGCGUGGGGAGCGAACAGG
rnacentral:rRNA from 1 species